rnacentral:rRNA from 1 species
AGAGCGAACGCUGGCGGCAGGCUUAACACAUGCAAGUCGAGCGGAUGUAGCAAUACAUCAGCGGCAGACGGGUGAGUAACACGUGGGAACGUACCUUUUGGUUCGGAACAACACAGGGAAACUUGUGCUAAUACCGGAUAAGCCCUUACGGGGAAAGAUUUAUCGCCGAAAGAUCGGCCCGCGUCUGAUUAGCUAGUUGGUGAGGUAAUGGCUCACCAAGGCGACGAUCAGUAGCUGGUCUGAGAGGAUGAUCAGCCACAUUGGGACUGAGACACGGCCCAAACUCCUACGGGAGGCAGCAGUGGGGAAUAUUGGACAAUGGGCGCAAGCCUGAUUCAGCCAUGCCGCGUGAGUGAUGAAGGCCCUAGGGUUGUAAAGCUCUUUUGUGCGGGAAGAUAAUGACGGUACCGCAAGAAUAAGCCCGGCUAACUUCGCGCCAGCAGCCGC